rnacentral:rRNA from 1 species
UAGGGAAUCUUCGGCAAUGGACGAAAGUCUGACCGAGCAACGCCGCGUGAGUGAAGAAGGUUUUCGGAUCGUAAAACUCUGUUGUUAGAGAAGAACAAGGACGUUAGUAACUGAACGUCCCCUGACGGUAUCUAACCAGAAAGCCACGGCUAACUACGUGCCAGCAGCCGCGGUAAUACGUAGGUGGCAAGCGUUGUCCGGAUUUAUUGGGCGUAAAGCGAGCGCAGGCGGUUUCUUAAGUCUGAUGUGAAAGCCCCCGGCUGAACCGGGGGGGGUCAUUGGAAACUGGGAGACUUGAGUGCAGAAGAGGAGAGUGGAAUUCCGUGUGUAGCGGUGAAAUGCGUAGAUAUAUGGGGGAACACCAGUGGCGAAGGCGGCUCUCUGGUCUGUAACUGACGCUGAGGCUCGAAAGCGUGGGGAGCAAACAGG